CGCCGGUCAUUAGCUGAAAGCUGUUCAAAUAAUUCUUCUAGUCCAGGGCCUAUAAAAUAAUCACCAGCAUUACCUCGUGCUAGAGCUAUUCCAGGAGCCCCAGGGAACAAAGCUUCAAACCCACCAUUUCCAGACACCCUAAAAGGAGUUUGGCCACCAAAAAUCAACAGAGGACCAAACCGUGGACUAUGUUCAGGAAUUGAACCCGAUCUCAUUCUGACGUCAUGGCUUCUGUCUGCCAAUCGCUGCCUCAUCAAGGCUGAGAAAGCUUCCAUAAGGCCAAAUCUUUGGUCACGAUCAUCGUGACCUUCCAAUUCAAAGAAAUCCAAUGGGCUGAAUUGCACCAUAUUGUCAAGUUCUUGAACAAAUCCUCCACUACAAUAGGGGCAAACUGCAUCUUGCCCAUGCAGACAAACUGGCCGCCUGCAUCUGUAACACCAGUGGGUAUUUCUACCACUUGACAUUCUCUCUUCUCCUAGCUCCGGUCUCAAAUCUCUAAACCUGACUCGCUGUAAGCACUCAGGCUAAAAUCGACACAUUCACUAUCAGUCUGCACAGAAAUGCAGCAACUAAAGGAGCGAGAGCGGAGUGGAACCC
rnacentral:misc_RNA from 1 species